rnacentral:rRNA from 1 species
GAGACGGGGCGAACCACGGUGAAAUGACGGAUCGUCGGCCCCGCGCCGGCGACUCGCCGAAUGAGUUUCUGACCUAUCAACUCGAGACGGCGGGGUAGAGGCCCGCCGCGGUAACGACGGGUAACGGGGAAUCAGGGUUCGAUUCCGGAGAAGGAGCCUGAGAAACGGCUACUAUUUCUAAGGAAGGCAGCAGGCGCGUAAAAUUACCCAAUCCUGACUCAGGGAGGUAGUUAAUAGAAAUAACUUGAUCGGCUCUAUGAGUAUUGAUCGUGUAAUGAACCAAAUGUAGAAAAUUGGUGAAUCCUAUUGGAGGGCAAGUCUGGUGCCAGCAGCCGCGGUAAUUCCAGCUCCAAUAGCGUAUAUUAAAGUUGUUGCAGUUAAAAAGCUCGUAGUUGAAUUUCCGGCAGUAUUGCCUGUCCGUAAGGGUAUCGACCACCGUCAAAAGUUUUUGAUACUUGAGCGGACUUUUACUGUGAUUAAAAUAG